GACUAGGUAGCUCAGUGGUUAGAGCCUAGGUCUCGUAACCGGAAGGUCGGAUCGAAUCUCGCUAGAUG
rnacentral:tRNA from 1 species